AUGUGGUCAAUGGACUGCAGUUGUUGUUGCAAUUUGUUCAGACAGGAGAAAUUGUAGUUCGCGAAAAAUCUGAACCACCUGAAAGUUCCCUUUUUGGCGAAACUCCUGUUUAUGACAGCUCUGAAGGCUCCAAAUUUUAUGAAUCACCUCCCAGUGAAGAAUCAUAUGCGUAUGAAUCACCUCCCAGUGAAGAAUCCUAUGCCGAUGAAUCAACUGGACGUCAGAGCUAUGAAACAUACAAAGAUUCUGAACUGUGAUGAAAAUGUGAAAUUCAUAUGCUGAUAUUUGCUCAAAUUUUAGGUAAGCUCUGAAGGCGGUUUCCAGUGCUGGCAAAU
rnacentral:lncRNA from 1 species